GGGAUUACCUCAGUAACGGCGAGUGAAGCGGUAACAGCUCAAAUUUGAAAGCUAGCUCUUUGAGGGUUCGCAUUGUAAUUUGUAGAAGAUGCUUCGGGUGUGGCCCCGGUCUAAGUUCCUUGGAACAGGACGUCAUAGAGGGUGAGAAUCCCGUAUGUGACUGGGUGCUUUCGCUCAUGUGAAGCUCUUUCGACGAGUCGAGUUGUUUGGGAAUGCAGCUCUAAAUGGGUGGUACAUUUCAUCUAAAGCUAAAUAUUGGCCAGAGACCGAUAGCGCACAAGUAGAGUGAUCGAAAGAUGAAAAGCACUUUGGAAAGAGAGUUAAACAGUACGUGAAAUUGUUGAAAGGGAAGCGCUUGCAACCAGACUUGCGCGCUGAUGAUCAUCCGGGCUUCUGCCCGGUGCACUCGUCUGCGCUCAGGCCAGCAUCGGUUUCGGUGGUGGGAUAAAGGCCUUGGGAAUGUAGCUCCUCUCGGGGAGUGUUAUAGCCCUCGGUGCAAUGCCGCCUACCGGGACCGAGGACCGCGCUUCGGCUAGGAUGCUGGCGUAAUGGUUGUAAGCGACCCGUCUUGAAACACGGACCAAGGAGUCUAACAUCUAUGCGAGUGUUUGGGUGUCAAACCCAUACGCGUAAUGAAAGUGAACGGAGGUGAGAACCCUUAAGGGUGCAUCAUCGACCGGUCCUGAUGUCUUCGGAUGGAUCUGAGUAAGAGCAUAGCUGUUGGGACCCGAAAGAUGGUGAACUAUGCGUGAAUAGGGUGAAGCCAGAGGAAACUCUGGUGGAGGCUCGCAGCGGUUCUGACGUGCAAAUCGAUCGUCAAAUUUGCGUAUAGGGGCGAAAGACUAAUCGAA
rnacentral:rRNA from 1 species